rnacentral:rRNA from 1 species
GGACGAACGCUGGCGGCGUGUUUAACACAUGCAAGUGGAGCGACGAACCGGGCUUGCCCCGGGGCAGAGCCGCGAACGGGUGAGUAACACGUGGGUAACCUGCCUCAAUGAUUGGGACAACCCGGGGAAACUCGGGCUAAUACCAAAUGUGUUCACUCCUUCUAAGGGGAGUGAGGAAAGGAAGCUUCGGCCUCCGCAUUGAGAUGGGCCCGCGGCCCAUUAGCUUGUUGGUGAGGUAACGGCUCACCAAGGCUUCGAUGGGUAGCUGGUCUGAGAGGACGAUCAGCCACACUGGGACUGAGACACGGCCCAGACUCCUACGGGAGGCAGCAGUGGGGAAUCUUGCACAAUGCGCGAAAGCGUGAUGCAGCAACGCCGCGUGGGGGAAGACGGCCUCCGGGUUGUAAACCCCUUUCAGUUGGGACGAAGCUUCGUCGGUGAAUAGCCGGUUGGAGUGACGGUACCUUCAGAAGAAGCCCCGGCUAACCACGUG